GAUGAAGAACGCAGCGAAAUGCGAUAAGUAGUGUGAAUUGCAGAAUUCAGUGAAUCAUCGAAUCUUUGAACGCACAUUGCGCCCCUUGGUAUUCCAUGGGGCAUGCCUGUUCGAGCGUCAUUUGUACCCUCAAGCUUUGCUUGGUGUUGGGCGUCUUGUCUUGUAUUAGACUCGCCUUAAAGUCAUUGGCAGCCAGUGUUUUUGGUAGUAAGCGCAGCACAUUUUGCGUCUUAGUCCUUGAAUCGUGGCAUCCAUGAAGCCUUUUUUCACUUUUGACCUCGGAUCAGGUAGGGAUACCCGCUGAACUUAAGCAUAUCAAUAGCGGAGGA
rnacentral:misc_RNA from 1 species